ACAAACUUGGUCAUUUAGAGGAAGUAAAAGUCGUAACAAGGUCUCCGUUGGUGAACCAGCGGAGGGAUCAUUACUGAGACUUUAAUCUCUACCCUUGUGAACCAUACCCUAGUGUUGCUUCGGCAGGUUUUCCCUGGGAGGGAAUUUUAAAGCCUUAGGGCAACCUGCCAGAGGCAUUUUUUACUCUUGAUUUUUUUUGGAAUUUCUGAGUAUUUUUCAAUAAGAAAAAACUUUCAGCAACGGAUCUCUUGGUUCUGGCAUCGAUGAAGAACGCAGC
rnacentral:misc_RNA from 1 species